rnacentral:tRNA from 1 species
GGGGUUGUGGCUCAGCAGUAGAGCACUCGCCUAGCAAGUGUGAGGCCCUGGGUUUGAGUCUCAGCACCA